rnacentral:misc_RNA from 1 species
ACCGAUGAAGGCGACUAUCAGGUAAAACUGCGCAACCUGAUUCGCUUUCUCGAGGAAGGCGACAAGGCCAAGGUUACCUUGCGCUUCCGUGGUCGUGAAAUGGCCCACCAAGACCUUGGUAUCAAGGUGCUGGAGCGCGUCAAGGCCGACCUGGAAGAGCUGGCCGUGGUUGAAGCUUUCCCGAAAGUCGAAGGCCGUCAAGCAGUGAUGGUCCUCGCACCCAAGAAGAAGUAAUCAGGCCCACAAGAGAUCCUGUCGUGGGGCAUGCCUCAUGACAGAAUUCGCCUAAUUAUUUUGUUGUUAUAGACAAUGCGGAGUUCGAAAUGCCGA